AAAUUGGAUUUGGAUUAAAAUUGGUUGAGUUAUUCGCAGUUUCGUGAGACACGUUUUCUCAGACGCGAAUUAGGACCAGCGGAGAUUGAAACUGAGAUCGUGGUCUUGUCUGUUUUCCGAUCGGCACGAGAUUUUGUGGGCAGCUUUGUGACGUCUGCAGCUAGGAUUUCACCGGAGAGAUUGAAUAGUUAACGGUUAGCUUGUAUUUUAGGGUUUCGUAUUUGAGACUGCUUGUUUCUGGUUUUUCCUGUCCAGUUUGCUUCAAGGUUGCUUUUGGUUGUGGACUUGUUGUAGGACGUUUCUGGACUGUUUCAGACGCAAGGAGAGUCUCUCCUGGGUUUAAUUGCUAUUAGAAUCAAUUUGUUAAGGUGAGUGCGUGACCAUGAGCUUAUCUGAGCGAUUGGGUUGUGUGAUUUGUUUUGUGUGAUGAUAUGUAGGUGUGGAGAAUGUGUUUUGGGUGAAUUGUUCAAUGACUGGUUUGUUUGUAUUGUAUUCGUGAUUAUACCUUUGUAUAUGCUUGUGUGUAUAGCUCGUAGAUGGGAGGAUCGCCUCACUAAGUAUUUAUGAUAAUACUUACGCAUCUCAUUGUGUUGUUGAUGCAGGUAAAGAUAAAGUGUGAUCGUGGAAUCAUGGCAAGGAAGAGAGGAUGAUCUAGGAACUCGUUUGUUUUAUUUUGGUGUUUUUGGUUAUUGGAACCCGGUUAGGAUUGUUAGUUAUUCUUGGUUUUGUUGGUCAAAUUAUUUAUUUAUUCAUAAAAUAGUAUUUUUGACUUGCGGUUUAAUUGUUAUUUUAUUGGUUGGUUUAAUUAGAUAUUUAUGGGAAUAUUUAAUUAUAUUUUUUUUAAAAAUGGGUCGGGUUGUUUCAAUUUGGUAUCAGAGCUAUUACGGUUCUAGGAUGUGUAGAAAAAUUAAUUGAUGAAUUAUUUUCCUGAUGAUUAAUGUGGGAUGAGCUAGGGUGUUAGCAUAUUGAGGAUUGAUUAUGGAGUGUUUAGUCAAUUGUGUGUUGUUGGAGUCCUAGCAUCAUCUUCUCCGAGCCUGAAAUGAGAUUCCACGGUAAGUUGUUUGUGAUAUAUUCGUUUGUUUUAGUUUCUUAGCCAUUUGUUCUUGAGUAGCGCAGAUGGUUAGAGGAGCUGGAGUUCGUGGUCGUGGUCGUGGUCGUGGUCGCGGUAGGGGACGAGUCCUCAAGGGUACCGGCGAGAGUGAUGGCCACAGUGCCACAGUUGAGCAGAGUGUGGGUUCGCAGCCUGAGUUUGUGGAGCCCGGGGUUAGGAACGGUCUUGGUGCCGAUAUAGCUGGUGCAGCCGGAGUGGGGGCUGGUGGAGCUGGUGUCGGUACCGGUGUGCAUGCCGUUGGUGCUGAGGGCCCAGGAGUGAUGGGUGCCGCAGCCGGAGGAGCCCAGGUUCCAGAGGUUGGUUUCGCGGGCCUGUUCAGGCAGUUGUUGGAGCGGUUACCAGGUGUGGUACCAGUGCAGGCUCCAGUUGCGCCACGAGUGGUGGAGGUGCAGCAGAGGGCUGCGGUUGCUGAGGAGGUUCCAUCUUAUUUGAGGAUGAUGAAACAGUUGCAGAGGAUUGGCACCGAGUAUUUUUCUGGUGGUACUAGUCCUGAGGAGGCCGACAGUUGGAGGUCGCAGGUUGAGCGGAACUUCGGUUCGAGCAGAUGUCCGGCGGAGUAUCGGGUGGAUCUAACAGUGCAUUUUCUAGAGGGGGAUGCACAUUUGUGGUGGCGGAGUGUGACUGCCAGGAGGAGGCAGGCGGAUAUGUCUUGGGCAGAUUUCAUGGCUGAGUUUAAUGCCAAGUACUUUCCGCGGGAGGCGCUCGAUCGUAUGGAGGCGCGUUUUCUUGAGCUGACACAGGGUGUGCGGUCGGUUCGGGAGUAUGACCGGAAGUUUAAUCGACUCUUGGUGUAUGCGGGUCGGGGCAUGGAGGAUGACCAGGCCCAGAUGAGGAGGUUCUUGAGGGGACUUCGACCGAAUUUGAGGGUGCGGUGUAGAGUGUCGCAGUACGCCACGAAGGCGGCACUGGUGGAGACGGCUGCUGAGGUAGAGGAGGACCUUCAGAGGCAGGUGGUGGGAGUGAGUCCAGCGGUACAACCGAAGAAGACUCAGCAGCAGGUGGCACCUAGCAAGGGCGGCAAGCCUGCGCAGGGGCAGAAGAGGAAGUGGGAUCAUCCUUCCAGAGCUGGACAGGGUGGUCAUGCAUGAUGUUUUUCUUGUGGGAGCCUUGACCACAAGGUGGCGGAUUGCACGCAGCGAGCUGAGACGAGGAAGUGCUACCACUGUAGGGAGAGGGGACAUCUCAGGCAGAAUUGUCCUAAGCUGCAGCGGAUGGCAGUGACAGUGGUACAGCCGGCGGUGCAGCACGGAGCGCAGGUGCAGCAGGGAGUGCAGCAGUUAGCACAUAUUGCAGCAGCACCGCAGGGUUACAUUACGCGUGAGAUAGGCGGUACCAGCAACAGAGCGAUUACUGGUAUGAUUUCUGAGACUCAAACUUUGUGAAUUGUUUAUGUUGUGUUGGAUAUCAUUGUUUUGUGAUGAAUGUUAGGGUUCUUAGCACAUGAGGUUUGUGUAGGGACCUUAUUAGUGGGCGGUGUAGAGGCCCAUGUGUUGUUUGACUCUGGAGCAUUGCAUUGCUUCAUUACCCCCGGAGAGUGCCUCGCGCGGCAACAUCCGUGGGGAUCCUGGUGAGCAACUUGGAGCCGUCAAGGUUGCUGGAGGACAGUUUCUAGCGGUUCUGGGGGGAGCGAAGGGUGUAGAUAUUCAGAUUGCAGGGGAGUCAUUGCCAGCAGAUUUGAUUAUCAGCCAUGUAGAGUUGUAUGAUGUUAUUCUGGGAAUGGAUUGGUUGGAUCAUUACAGAGUACAUCUUGACUGCCACCGUGGGAGAGUUUCUUUUGAGCGGCCAGAGGGAAGGUUGGUUUAUCAGGGAGUGAGACCUACCUCAGGGAGUCUCGUCAUCUCAGCAGUGCAGGCAGAGAAAAUGAUCGAGAAGGGCUGCGAGGCUUACCUGGUGACGAUAUCUAUGCCGGAGUCUGUGGGCAGGUAGCAGUGAGCGACAUUCGGGUUGUUCAGGAGUUUCAGUAUGUGUUUCAAUCGUUGCAGGGAUUACCACCAUCACGGUCUGAUCCUUUCACGAUUGAGUUGGAACCAAAGACAGCGCCAUUGUCUAAGGCACCCUACAGGAUGGCUCCAGCAAAGAUGGCAGAGCUAAAGAAGCAGCUAGAGGAUUUAUUGGGUAAGAGAUUCAUUCGUCCUAGUACUUCACCUUGGGGAGCGCCGGUGUUAUUUGUGAAGAAGAAGGACGGGAGUUUCCGCUUAUGUAUUGACUACCGGGGUUGAACCGGGUCACUGUGAAGAACAAGUACCCUUUGCCAAGGAUUGAUGAGUUGUUGGAUCAGUUGAGGGGUGCUACUUGUUUCUCCAAAAUCGAUUUGACGUCGGGUUAUCAUCAGAUCCCGAUAGCGGAGGCAGAUGUUCGCAAGACUGCUUUCAGGACGAGAUAUGGACAUUUUGAGUUCGUGGUGAUGCCUUUCGGGUUGACUAAUGCACCUGCAGCGUUCAUGAGGUUGAUGAACAGCGUGUUCCAGGAGUUUUUGGAUGAGUUUGUGAUCAUCUUUAUUGAUGACAUUCUGGUGUAUUCUAAGAGUCCUGAGGAGCAUGAGGUACAUCUAAGGAGAGUGAUGGAGAAGCUACGGGAGCAGAAGUUGUUCGCUAAGUUGAGUAAGUGCAGUUUCUGGCAGAGAGAGAUGGGUUUUCUGGGUCACAUUGUUUCUGCAGAGGGAGUUUCAGUGGAUCCAGAGAAAAUUGAGGCUAUCAGAGAUUGGCCUAGACCGACGAAUGCCACUGAGAUCAGGAGUUUUCUUGGGUUGGCAGGGUAUUACAGGAGGUUCAUCAAGGGGUUUGCGAGUAUGGCACAGCCGAUGACUAAGCUGACGGGGAAGGAUGUUCCUUUUGUGUGGUCACCGGAGUGCGAGGAGGGUUUCGUGAGCCUGAAGGAGAUGUUGACGAGUACACCAGUGUUAGCAUUGCCAGAGCAUGGAGAGCCUUACAUGGUGUAUACUGAUGCCUCGGGAGUUGGUUUGGGUUGUGCUCUAAUGCAGCGUGGGAAGGUUAUUGCCUAUGCAUCACGGCAGUUGAGGAAGCAUGAGGGCAACUAUCCUACUCACGAUUUGGAGAUGGCUGCAGUAAUCUUUGCCUUGAAAAUUUGGAGGUCUUAUCUUUAUGGCGGGAAAGUGCAGGUGUUCACGGAUCAUAAGAGUUUGAAGUAUAUUUUCACUCAGCCAGAGCUGAACCUGAGGCAGAGGCGAUGGAUGGAGUUGGUGGCUGAUUAUGAUCUAGAGAUAGCUUACCACUUGGUAAGGCUAAUGUGGUUGCAGACGCGUUGAGCCGUAAGCGCGUGGGCGCGGCUCCAGGGCAGAGUGUUGAGGCCUUGGUGAGUGAGAUUGGUGCUUUGCAGUUGUGUGCUGUGGCACGAGAGCCAUUGGGAUUGGAAGCUGUGGAUCGAGCAGAUCUUCUGACUAGAGUUCGGUUGGCUCAGGAGAAGGAUGAGGGGUUGAUUGCGGCUUUUAAGGCAGAGGGCUCUGAGUAUCAGUUUGCAGCUAAUGGGACUAUCCUUGUGCAUGGGCGAGUUUGUGUGCCUAAGGAUGAGGAGUUGCGACGGGAGAUCUUGAGUGAGGCUCAUGCGAGCAUGUUUUCCAUUCAUCCAGGAGCGACUAAGAUGUACCGAGACCUCAAGCGGUACUAUCACUGGGUCAGAAUGAAGAGGGAUGUAGCUAAUUGGGUUGCAGAGUGCAAAGUUUGCCAGUUAGUUAAGGCUAAGCAUCAGGUGCCAGGUGACCUGUUGCAGAGUUUACCCAUUCCUGAGUGGAAGUGGGAUUUCAUCACGAUGGAUUUUGUGGUUGGGUUGCCUGUGUCGCGAACCAAAGAUGCUAUUUGGGUGAUCGUGGACCGUCUGACUAAGUCAGCACAUUUUCAAGCCAUCAGAAAAACCGAUGGAGCGGCGGUGUUUGCUAAGAAAUAUGUGAGCGAGAUCGUGAAGUUGCAUGGAGUACCUGUGAGUAUUGUGUCAGACAGGGAUUCCAAGUUUACUUCUGCAUUUUGGAGAGCCUUUCAGGCAGAGAUGGGUACUAAGGUACAGAUGAGCACGACUUAUCAUCCACAGACAGAUGGGCAAUCUGAGAGGACUAUUUAGACGCUUGAGGAUAUGUUGCGGAUGUGUGUCUUGGAUUGGGGAGGUCAUUGGGCGGAUCACUUGAGUCUGGUAGAGUUUGCUUAUAACAAUAGCUAUCAGGCGAGUAUUGGGAUGGCUCCUUUUGAAGCGUUGUAUGGGAGGCCAUGCAGGACACCGUUAUGCUGGACCCAAGUGGGGGAGAGGAGCAUAUAUGGUGCAGAUUAUGUUCAGGAGACCACGGAGAGGAUCCGGGUUGUUAAGCUGAACAUGAAGGAAGCUCAGGAUCGACAGCGGAGUUAUGCUGACAAGAGGAGGAGAGAGCUUGAGUUUGAGGUUGGGGACAAAGUGUAUCUUAAGAUGGCCAUGUUGCGAGGUCCGGACAGGUCUAUCUCAGAGACUAAGUUGAGUCUGAGGUACAUGGGUCCGUUCAGGAUUGUUGAGAGGGUGGGACCAGUGGCAUACAGGUUAGAGUUGCCUGAUGUUAUGCGUGCGUUUCACAAGGUCUUUCAUGUGUCGAUGCUGAGGAAGUGUCUUCACAAGGAUGAUAAAGUGUGAUCGUGAAAUCAUGGCAAGGAAGAGAGGAUGAUCUAGGAACUCGUUUGUUUUAUUUUGGUGUUUUUGGUUAUUGGAACCCGGUUAGGAUUGUUAGUUAUUCUUGGUUUUGUUGGUCGAAUUAUUUAUUUAUUCAUAAAAUAGUAUUUUUGACUUGCGGUUUAAUUGUUAUUUUAUUGGUUGGUUUAAUUAGAUAUUUAUGGGAAUAUUUAAUUAUAUUUAUAAAAAAAAAUGGGUCGGGUUGUUUCAUUUGUCAUCAACCUCUACUCCAUCAUCAAAACGAAAAGAUUCAGAUGAUGUUGUUGGAAAUGAUCAGGCUUCCACAAGUAAGAAGAAGUGUUCUAAGAUGACCAUGUCUGAGGAAGACUCCGGCGAAUGAUGCUUAAUGACUACUCCAUCUUGGAUCGUUUUCUUCAUUAAUAUUUCUUUGCUUUAAGUUAUCGAAGUUGUUUUCAUUUUUUAAGUUCUAAACUAUCUUUAUUUUAUUUGUUGUU
rnacentral:sRNA from 1 species